rnacentral:rRNA from 1 species
GCCUACGGGGCGCAGCAGUGAGGAAUAUUGGUCAAUGGUCGGGAGACUGAACCAGCCAAGCCGCGUGAGGGAUGAAGGUACAGAGUAUCGUAAACCUCUUUUGUCAGGGAACAAAGGCGGGGACGUGUCCCCGGAUGAGUGUACCUGAAGAAAAAGCAUCGGCUAACUCCGUGCCAGCAGCCGCGGUAAUACGGAGGAUGCGAGCGUUAUCCGGAUUUAUUGGGUUUAAAGGGUGCGCAGGCGGUCUGUUCAGUCAGCGGUCAAAGCCCGGGGCUCAACCCCAGCCCGCCGUUGAAACUGGCAGG